rnacentral:rRNA from 1 species
UACGUAGGGCGCAAGCGUUGUCCGGAAUUAUUGGGCGUAAAGAGCUCGUAGGCGGUUUGUCGCGUCUGCUGUGAAAACGCGAGGCUCAACCUCGCGCCUGCAGUGGGUACGGGCAGACUAGAGUGUGGUAGGGGAGAUUGGAAUUCCUGGUGUAGCGGUGGAAUGCGCAGAUAUCAGGAGGAACACCGAUGGCGAAGGCAGAUCUCUGGGCCAUUACUGACGCUGAGGAGCGAAAGCGUGGGGAGCGAACAGG